CCUUCACGAAGUCGGAAUUGCUGUAAUGGCAGGUCAGCAUACUGCCGUGAAUACGCUCCCGGGCCUUGUACACACCGCCCGUCACACCAUGAGAGUUAGGAAUACCCGAAGCCUGUGAGCUAACUUUAAUAGAGGCAGCAGUCGAAGGUAGAACUAAUGAUUGGGGUGAAGUCGUAACAAGGUAAC
rnacentral:rRNA from 1 species